UGGCGGCACUAAGCGCGGUGGUCCCACCUGACCCCAUGCCGAACUCAGAAGUGAAACGCCGUAGCGCCGAUGGUAGUGUGGGGUCUCCCCAUGUGAGAGUAGGGAACUGCCAGGCA
rnacentral:rRNA from 1 species